GAUGACAAACAGGUGGUGAGGUGGUUUAGCCCUAUUAUGCUGUGACUCCAUCAUGAAUAUGCAUUUCCUUUGCUAUGUGGCCAUUAUUCUUCUGGAAGCAGGCCUUAUGGAUGCUGGAGUUACCCAGAUUCCAAGAUUCCUGGUCACAAGGAAAGGAGAGAAUGUGACAUUUAGAUGUAACCCUAUUGAAGGACAGACUUAUGUUUUUUGGUAUCAACAACCCUUAGAAAAAGAGAUCAAAUUUUUGAUAUAUUUCCAGGGCAUCAAUAAAGUUGAUGAGUCAGGGAUGCCCAAAGAUCGAUUCUCAGCUAAAUGUCUCGAAAACAAGCGAUGUGAGCUGUCAAUCCAGCCCACGGAGCCUGGGGACUCGGGCAUCUUUUUCUGUGCUAGCAGUGCAACCACAGUGUGGCAAAGUCUUCUCCUCUCUGAGCAUAAACCUCCAGCCACCCCACACAGGAAACAGCUAAUGGAGCAGCUUAUUAAAACCUACCCUUGUUAUCUCUGCUGUAGAGAGGAAGAGAAACGAGAGACAUUAGAACACAUCAACAUCAGUGAUGUAUAG